CCUCAGUGUCCCCCGCGGGCGACCAGGGGCGGAGGCUGCAGAGCCAGGGGACUGCUGCGCCGCGCAGCCCAGUGGAGACAUUUUGAGGAAAUGCAGAUGUGAGGCGCAAUCCAAGGACUUUUAAACAAAUAUGAAGCUUAAUUCAAUUGUUUCCUGAGAGAUUGACUUCUUGCAAAAGCCAAAGAAAAUCUCUAACUAAUCCAAAAGAUACUCCAGCAUUAUUGGAAGAAAUCCUGGAUGGCUUUUGACUCCAUAUCUUCAAAAAGAAAAUAUAACAAUAGUAAACAACAUCAAAAUCAACAUAAGAAUGGUUUAGUAAAACUCUGGGGUUAAGGAUGAGAAUGGGGGAGGGAGAGAAGUAAAUCAAAUGUUUAAAACUAAUGGUCAAGGAGAAGAAAAGGGAUUUAAAACAUGGAAGGCACUUUUCUGAAAGUCAGUAUGUUAGUUACAGGAAGAAAUAGGAGCAUGAAAGAUGAAACAUUUAAAAGCACAAGAAAGAUAUUCUUCCAAAAUUUUAUUUUUAUUUUCAGAUGAGGUUAGGUAAUCAAGACAAAAUUUAAAAAAAUGUAAAUUAACAUGUUUGUUUGGGUUUGAGGUCUCAUUUGUUAACACAAACACUUUACCUGGAAGGAACUUU